GUCCACACCGUAAAUGAUGAUUACUAGGUGUUGGAGGAUUGACCCCUUCAGUGCCGCAGUUAACACAAUAAGUAAUCCACCUGGGGAGUACGACCGCAAGGUUGAAACUCAAAGGAAUUGACGGGGGCCCGCACAAGCAGUGGAGUAUGUGGUUUAAUUCGACGCAACGCGAAGAACCUUACCAAGUCUUGACAUCCUGCGACGGUUUUUGGAAACAGAACUUUCCUUCGGGACGCAGAGACAGGUGGUGCAUGGUUGUCGU
rnacentral:rRNA from 1 species